rnacentral:tRNA from 1 species
GUACCUGUAGUUCAAUGGAUAGAAUAGAGGAUUCCGGUUCCUCAGAUUAGGGUUCGAUUCCCUACAGGUAUACCA